CAAGGAAAACCUGCACCCACAAACAACCUGGACACCUCUGACCAACACCCUCAGAACAAAGGGUUCUAAUCUAUACAAUUCCUUUUUGCUGGUUUGCUGCCAUCAAGUAAAUCAUUUUAAAGGAAAUUGAGCACUAGCACUAUUUUUCCCCCUCUGUGGUCAUCCUCAUUAAACCUCUUCUUGACUGGGGUGAGAGAGGUGAGCCUCUGCCAAGCUUGGAUGUUCAAAGCAAUUCUCCACACUAAAAAGGACCAUGCCCUCUGCCUCCACAGUCAGUGCCCUAUCAGAGGACUUCAGUGCCAUCCACCCACACCACCCACAGACUGCCAAAUGUAAAGCCCUGCAUAAAUUUGGACAUUGUGUCCUCUUUUGCCAAGCACUGGCAGUAUCUGACACCAACAGGAGUGCAUCAUUGGCAAUGAUUUAUAGCCCCGGUGGAAUGGGUCUGGCGUGUUGAUGAGGCAGGCUUUAUUUACUCAGGUAGCCAUUAUGAUGACUUCAGUCCCUUUGUGAUAAAUGGAUUCAGAGAAGAGGAGUUCUGUAUGGAAAAGAAAAAUCAUCAUAAAUUGUCAUAUUUGAUCAGAAUGCCAUGUUCUGUGGGCAGCAACUACUGAGCCCUCUUCUGGAGGAAAUAAUGAACAAACAAAACAAUAAAAUAAACAAUCAAAUGGACUGUGUUUAUUUAGGAAAGAACGAGGAAGAGCAAAAGACAUGUGAUUGAAAAAGACUACAAAAAACACUUGCUUGGGAUUUUCCAUUAAGAGAUUUAAUAUGUUUUACAUUUCUUUAUUAUAUUGGUUAUAACUCACAUGAUGCUCCAUUUUAUAUUUCAAAUAAGAAAGAAAGGGGUCUACACAGACAGGUGUAAGCUCUUAUAAUCAGGCAUCAGUGUUAUAAGUCUGUUAUAAGUUUAAUUCUGCAGAACUUGGCUUGAGUUCUGUAUAAAUUAUUGCCCCACAGAUUUCAGCUACUUAGCUAAGCUUGACUCUGACUAAAGUUGAGCUUUAACAUCCCGGAUUUGGCUGUCACACUGUAUUGCAAAUUACAUAUAAAUCCUUUACUGGUUGUGAUAUCUCUUCUAUGAAGCUGUGUAGAAUAUUCAUAGCCCCUGAUUUUCAUGUCCUCAUUCAAUGCUUGCACCUGAUCCUUGUAAUUGGUCUUGUGUAUUUUCUGCAUUUGUGUAUUGUCUGUAUUUUUGAUAUGUGCUAUAUAACAACAUACAGUAUGGAUCUCAUCCAAGUUCCUGGGUCGCCUUGUUUGGCUCAAUUCUUGACCUAGUUUUAAAUCCCAAAUGUGUUAUAUGUUUCAGACCAUAACAUUCUAGCUGUUUUUAUUGUUUUCUAUUAAA